UGCCUAGAACAUAGUGGUAAUGCACCGGAUCACAUUAGAACUCUACAAUUAAGGGCGCUCAGGCUAGAGUAGUACUGGGAUGGGUGACCACCUGGGAAUUCCUAGUGUUUUACAUGC
rnacentral:rRNA from 1 species